UACAGAGGGUGCGAGCGUUAUUCGGAAUCACUGGGCUUACAGGGUGCGUAGGCGGCUUGCUAAGUAGGGUGUGAAAUCCCCCGGCUCAACCGGGGAAUGGCGCCCUAAACUGGCGAGCUAGAGUGAGAUAGGGGUGUGUGGAACUUCCGGUGGAGCGGUGAAAUGUGUUGAUAUCGGAAGGAACGCCGGUGGCGAAAGCGACACACUGGAUCUUGUCUGACGCUGAGGCACGAAAGCCAGGGGAGCGAACGGG
rnacentral:rRNA from 1 species